UCCUUCGGGUGAAGGUGGCGGACGGGUGAGUAACGCGUGGGAACUUGCCUUACAGACUGGGACAACAUUUGGAAACGAAUGCUAAUACCGGAUAUUAUGACUGAGUCGCAUGAUUUGGUUAUGAAAGCUAUAUGCGCUGUGAGAGAGCUUUGCGUCCCAUUAGUUAGUUGGUGAGGUAACGGUCACCAAGACGGGAUGGGUAGCCGGCCUGAGAGGGUGAACGGCCACAAGGGGACUGAGACACGGCCCUUACUCCUACGGGAGGCAGCAGUGGGGAAUAUUGGACAAUGGACCAAAGUCUGAUCCAGCAAUUCUGUGUGCACGAUGAAUUUUUCGGAAUGUAAAGUGCUUUCAGUUGGGAAGAAGUCAGUGACGGUACCACAGAAGAAGCGACGGCUAAAUACGUGCCAGCACCGCGGUAAUACGUAUGUCGCAAGCGUUAUCCGGAUUUAUUGGGCGUAAAGCGCGUCUAGGCGGUUUAGUAAGUCUGAUGUGAAAAUGCGGGGCUCAACCCCGUAUUGCGUUGGAAACUGCUAAACUAGAGUACUGGAGAGGUAGGCGGAACUACAAGUGUAGAGGUGAAAUUCGUAGAUAUUUGUAGGAAUGCCGAUGGGGAAGCCAGCCUACUGGACAGAUACUGACGCUAAGGCGCGAAAGCGUGGGUAGCAAACAGGAUUAGAUACCCUGGUAGUCCACGCCGUAAACGAUGAUUACUAGGUGUUGGGGGUCGAACCUCAGCGCCCAAGCUAACGCGAUAAGUAUCC
rnacentral:rRNA from 1 species